CUACGGGACGCUGCAGUGAGGAAUUUUGCGCAAUGGGGGGAACCCUGACGCAGCAACGCCGCGUGAGUGAUGAAGGCUUUCGGGUCGUAAAGCUCUGUCAAGUGGGAAGAACCUAUGCAGUGUUAAUAUCACUGUAUACUGACGGUACCACUGAAGGAAGCACCGGCUAACUCCGUGCCAGCAGCCGCGGUAAUACGGGGGGUGCAAGCGUUAUUCGGAAUCAUUGGGCGUAAAGGGCACGUAGGCGGCUUGGUAAGUCAGAUGUGAAAGCCCGGGGCUUAACCCGGGAAGUGCAUUUGAUACUGGCAGGAUUGAGUAUGGGAGAGGGAAGUGGAAUUCCUGGUGUAGAGGCGAAAUUCGUAGAUAUCAGGAGGAACACCGGUGGCGAAGGCGACUUCCUGGACCAAUACUGACGCUGAGGUGCGAAGGCGUGGGUAGCAAACAGGAUUAGAUACCCGUGUAGUC
rnacentral:rRNA from 1 species